UACGAAGGGGGCUAGCGUUGUUCGGAAUUACUGGGCGUAAAGCGCACUUAGGCGGCUUUCUAAGUCGGGGGUGAAAUCCUGGAGCUCAACUCCAGAACUGCCUUCGAUACUGGAGAGCUCGAGUCCGGGAGAGGUGAGGGGAACUGCGAGUGUAGAGGUGAAAUUCGUAGAUAUUCGCAAGAACACCAGUGGCGAAGGCGGCUCGCUGGCCCGGUACUGACGCUGAGGUGCGAAAGCGUGGGGAGCAAACAGG
rnacentral:rRNA from 1 species